CCCGGAUGGACCAACCUGUGGGACCAUCCUUCCUGUGCUUGUGCCCUUGCCCCUGGACUUGGGGACUCAGCACCCAAUGCUUCCUGCCUCCAAAUCUCCCCUCCCGGGACAGGCUGUGCCAGGGCCAGCUUCUGAGAACUAUGAAACGCCUGCCUGAAGGGAUGAGGCAGGUCCAGGGGGAUUGGACGCCAAAGACUAAGAAUUCUGGGUAGUGCCGUGCUGCUGAUCUGCCUGGCUGAGCUGCCUUGGGAUUUCCAGGAUCCAGACUCAUUGCCCUGGCAUCUAGUGACGGCUGAAGGAGCUCCAGCAGGAGCCUCGGUGACCAAGGACAGGUCACUAUAAAGCAGUAACGGGGAUGUCCAUGUGCCCUUGGGCCACAGUGACCUCAGAAGGACUCUUCCAAAGCGUGGUGAAGGGUUUGUCGGUCCUGCCAGAUCCUGCCCAGCCUACAUGGAAACCUUGCACUGCCGUUUUCCCACUGCCUUUUCCGGUCCUCAACCACACUGUGACCAUCUGCAUGCCAGUGGGACCACUGGGCCCUGGAAGGAGAAAAAGAAACAGGCAGAACUGAGCAUGUGAGCCCCACCCACCUGUGAAGCUCCGCCCCUCCAGUCCUGCUCACCCAGAUCUGCAAUGCAACAUUGCAAGUUGCUCUUGACCAGCACAUUGCGG